GCCCGCAUAGAUCAAUGCCAGAUCAUCUCUCCACAAUUAUUGGUACAUUUAGUCUGAUACCGAGAAGACGGAGGUUCGAAUCCUCCUGUGGGCA